rnacentral:tRNA from 1 species
UCCCUGGUAGCUCAGACAGUAAAGCGUCUGCCUACAAUGUGGGAGACCCAGGUUCGAUCCCUGGGUUGGGAA